rnacentral:pre_miRNA from 1 species
AAAAAGGCAAACCGUGGGUUUUCGUGCCAACGUUUGACUGUCCAUAAAAAAUUUUAUAAUUAUUAUUUUCAUUGUCGUUAGAUAUAAAACAUGAUUAAUACUUUAUGCGUGACUUAUUUUUUUAAUUUUUUCAAAUAGGACGGAUAGUUAAACGUUGGACACGGAAAUCAGGGUUUGUCUUUUU